CGCAGUGACUGGGGCGAAGUCGUAACAAGGUAGCCGUAGGGGAACCUGCGGCUGGAUCACCUCCUUUCUGGA
rnacentral:rRNA from 1 species